AAUUGUGUGCUCUCCUUUUAAGCAAGAAAAUUGCCACUUCUCCAUAGUAGCAAGAGUAUAAAAUUACAUCCUUGUGAAAAGACAGCAUAUAAUCAAUCAUACAUGUCCAACUGUUUAAUUAUUGUAAACUAAAGUACGAUAGUAAUGAAACUCAAUCCAUAACCAAAAUGGAGCAUUCUACUCCACAACUUUUUCAAAUACAAAAUAUUGCUUGCGCCAAACUCUGCAGUAGCUAGUAUUAUAUUGUAUUUCAAUGGAUGGAUGCAACCAACGCCAUGUGCUCGAUGAGGUCCAAUACUCGGUUGCUGUAACCCCACUCGUUAUCAUACCAGGAGACGAGCUUCACGAAUGAUUUGCUCAGGCCUAUACCAGCUUUAGCAUCAAAUAUGCUUGAUCUGGAAUCGCCAACAAAAUCAUUUGAGACAACAUCCUCGUCUGUGUAACCCAAAAUGCCUUUAAGUGGACCCUCCGAUGCAUACUUUAUCGCUGCUUUCACAUCAUCAUAAGAAGCACUUUUAUCUAGCCGGCAAGUCAGGUCAACAACAGAGACAUUAGGUGUUGGGACACGGAAAGCCAUUCCAGUGAGCUUCCCAUUCAAUUCUGGCAGAACUUUUCCUACAGCCUUAGCAGCACCAGUUGAACUAGGAAUGAUGUUUUGUCCAGCACCACGGCCUCCUCGCCAAUCCUUCAUUGAUGGCCCAUCAACA
rnacentral:misc_RNA from 1 species